UCGGGAUUUUGGGGGGAAUCUGAUUUUAAAGGAGGAUCUUUGUUUGUGGAGGCAUUUUAGGGGGUUUUACAGGAGUUUCAAGACUCUUAAUUUCUUUUUUAAUUGCUUUUUUUAGCUCUUGGCUCAUGGAAUCCUCAUCCAUGGGUUCCCCAUGGCCCCUCCCCAGUGGGAGAGGCUUCAGCCCAGGGUGAUCUUCGGGCCACCAUGAAGUGAUGGCAGUGUCCCCAGCCCAGUGGGAGAUGCUUCACCCUGAGGUGACCCUCGGACUGCAGUGCCCCCAGCCCAGUGGGAGAUGCCUCACCCUGAGGUGACCCUCGGACCGCAGCGCCCCCAGCCCAGGUCAG